AGCGAACGCUGGCGGCAGGCUUAACACAUGCAAGUCGAGCGGGCACUUCGGUGUCAGCGGCAGACGGGUGAGUAACACGUGGGAACGUACCCUUUGGUUCGGAAUAACGCUGGGAAACUAGCGCUAAUACCGGAUACGCCCUUUUGGGGAAAGGCUUGCUGCCGAAGGAUCGGCCCGCGUCUGAUUAGCUAGUUGGUGGGGUAAUGGCCUACCAAGGCGACGAUCAGUAGCUGGUCUGAGAGGAUGAUCAGCCACACUGGGACUGAGACACGGCCCAGACUCUUACGGGAGGCAGCAGUGGGGAAUAUUGGACAAUGGGCGCAAGCCUGAUCCAGCCAUGCCGCGUGAGUGAUGAAGGCCUUAGGGUUGUAAAGCUCUUUUGUCCGGGACGAUAAUGACGGUACCGGAAGAAUAAGCCCCGGCUAACUUCGUG
rnacentral:rRNA from 1 species